AUUGAACGCUGGCGGCAUGCCUAACACAUGCAAGUCGAGCGGAGCGGCGGACGGGUGAGUAAUGCCUAGGACUCUGCCUGGUCGUGGUGGCUAACGUCCGGAAACGGGAGCUAAUACCGCAUCCUAUCAGAUGAGCCUCGGUCGUAUUAGCUAGUUGGUGGGGUAAAGGCCUACCAAGGCGACGAUCCGUCACUGCUCUGAGAGGAUGUUCAGUCACACUGGAACUGAGCCACGGUCCAUACUCCUACGGGAGGCAGCAGUGGGGAAUAUUGGACAAUGGGCGAAAGCCUGAUGCAGCCAUGCCGCGUGUAUGAAGAAGGCCUUCGGGUUGUAAAGUACUUUCAGCGGGGAGGCGUUACCCGCAGAAGAAGCACCGGCUAACUCCGUGCCAGCAGCCGCGGUAAUAC
rnacentral:rRNA from 1 species